rnacentral:rRNA from 1 species
UACGUAGGGUGCGAGCGUUGUCCGGAAUUAUUGGGCGUAAAGAGCUCGUAGGCGGUGUGUCACGUCGUUCGUGAAAACCUGCAGCUUAACUGUGGGCGUGCGGUCGAUACGGGCAUCACUGGAGUUCGGCAGGGGAGACUGGAAUUCCUGGUGUAGCGGUGAAAUGCGCAGAUAUCAGGAGGAACACCGGUGGCGAAGGCGGGUCUCUGGGCCGGUACUGACGCUGAGGAGCGAAAGCGUGGGGAGCGAACAGG